rnacentral:tRNA from 1 species
UGGGGUAUCGCCAAGCGGUAAGGCAUAGGUUUUUGAUACCUAAGCAUUCCCCGGUUCGAAUCCGGUACCCCAGCCA